GUGGGGAAUAUUGGACAAUGGGGGGAACCCUGAUCCAGCCAUGCCGCGUGUGUGAAGAAGGCCUUUUGGUUGUAAAGCACUUUAAGCGAGGAGGAGGCUACCGAGAUUAAUACUCUUGGAUAGUGGACGUUACUCGCAGAAUAAGCACCGGCUAACUCUGUGCCAGCAGCCGCGGUAAUACGGAGGGUGCAAGCGUUAAUCGGAUUUACUGGGCGUAAAGCGCGCGUAGGUGGCCAAUUAAGUCAAAUGUGAAAUCCCCGAGCUUAACUUGGGAAUUGCAUUCGAUACUGGUUGGCUAGAGUAUGGGAGAGGAUGGUAGAAUUCCAGGUGUAGCGGUGAAAUGCGUAGAGAUCUGGAGGAAUACCGAUGGCGAAGGCAGCCAUCUGGCCUAAUACUGACACUGAGGUGCGAAAGCAUGGGGAGCAAACAGGAUUAGAAACCCGGGUAGUCC
rnacentral:rRNA from 1 species